GCCUGGCUGGCUCAGUGGGUUAAGUGUCUGACUUGGGCUCAGGUCACGGUCCCAGGGUCGUGGGUUCGAGCCCCACACCAGGUG
rnacentral:tRNA from 1 species